rnacentral:rRNA from 1 species
GUAGGUGGCAAGCGUUGUCCGGAAUUAUUGGGCGUAAAGCGCUCGCAGGCGGUCCUUUAAGUCUGAUGUGAAAGCCCACGGCUCAACCGUGGAGGGUCAUUGGAAACUGGGGGACUUGAGUACAGAAGAGGAAAGCGGAAUUCCACGUGUAGCGGUGAAAUGCGUAGAGAUGUGGAGGAACACCAGUGGCGAAGGCGGCUUUCUGGUCUGUAACUGACGCUGAGGCGCGAAAGCGUGGGGAGCAAACAGGGAUUAGAUACCCUGGUAGUCCGCGCCGUAAACGAUGAGUGCUAAGUGUUAGGGGGUUUCCGCCCCCUUAGUGCUGCAGCUAACGCAUUAAGCACUCCGCCUGGGGAGUACGGCCGCAAGGCUG